rnacentral:rRNA from 1 species
CUUGACCUCAAAUCGAGUAGGACUACCCGCUGAACUUAAGCAUAUCAAUAAGCGGAGGAAAAGAAACUAACAAGGAUUCCCCUAGUAACGGCGAGUGAAGAGGGAAGAGCUCAAAUUUUGAAUCUGGCACCUUUGGUGUCCGAAUUGUAAUCUAGAGAAGUGUUUUCCGUGGCGGACCGUGCAUAAGUCUCCUGGAAUGGAGCGUCAUAGAGGGUGAGAAUCCCGUAUAUGGCAUGGACUCCCGUUGCUCUGUGAUACACUCUCGACGAGUCGAGUUGUUUGGGAAUGCAGCUCUAAAUGGGUGGUAAAUGCCAUCUAAAGCUAAAUAUUGGCGAGAGACCGAUAGCGAACAAGUACCGUGAGGGAAAGAUGAAAAGCACUUUGGAAAGAGAGUGAAACAGUACGUGAAAUUGUUGAAAGGGAAACGCUUGAAGUCAGUCGCGCCGUUCGGGAUUCAGCCUUGCUUCUGCUCGGUUUACUUCCCGUUGGGUGGGUCAACAUCAGUUUCGGUCGGAGGAGAAAGACUUGGGGAAGGUAGCAGCAUUCGUGCUGUGUUAUAGCCCGUUGUUGUAUACUUCGAUUGGGACUGAGGACCGCAGCACGCCUUUGGCCGGGGUUCGCCCACGUACGUGCUUAGGAUGUUGGCAUAAUGGCUUUAAGCGACCCGUCUUGAAACACGG